rnacentral:rRNA from 1 species
UGGGGAAUAUUGCACAAUGGGCGCAAGCCUGAUGCAGCCAUGCCGCGUGUGUGAAGAAGGCCUUCGGGUUGUAAAGCACUUUCAGCGAGGAGGAAGGUGGUGAGCUUAAUACGCUCAUCAAUUGACGUUACUCGCAGAAGAAGCACCGGCUAACUCCGUGCCAGCAGCCGCGGUAAUACGGAGGGUGCAAGCGUUAAUCGGAAUUACUGGGCGUAAAGCGCACGCAGGCGGUUUGUUAAGUCAGAUGUGAAAUCCCCGGGCUCAACCUGGGAACUGCAUUUGAAACUGGCAAGCUAGAGUCUCGUAGAGGGGGGUAGAAUUCCAGGUGUAGCGGUGAAAUGCGUAGAGAUCUGGAGGAAUACCGGUGGCGAAGGCGGCCCCCCUGGACGAAGACUGACGCUCAGGUGCGAAAGCGUGGGGCAGCAAACAGGAUUAGAUACCCUGGUAGUCCGCGCUGUAAAACGAUGUCGAUUUGGAGGUUGUGCCCUUGAGGCGUGGNUUCCGGAGCUAACGCGUUAAAUCGACCGCCNGGGGAGUACGGCCGCAAGGUUAAAAACUCAAAGGAAUUGAC